UACGAAGGACCCGAGCGUUAUCCGGAUUUAUUGGGUUUAAAGGGUGCGUAGGCGUCCUGGAAAGUUACGGUUGAAAUCUCCUUGCUCAACAAGGAAACUGGCCGUAAAACUAUCAGGAUUGAGUACAUUUGAAGCGGGCGGAAUGUGUCAUGUAGCGGUGAAAUGCUUAGAUAUGACACAGAACACCAAUUGCGAAGGCAGCUCGCUAAACUGUAACUGACGCUGAGGCACGAAAGCGUGGGGAUCGAACAGG
rnacentral:rRNA from 1 species